AAUUUUGCGCAAUGGGCGAAAGCCUGACGCAGCAACGCCGCGUGUGUGACGAAGCCCCUCGGGGUGUAAAACACUGUCAGUAGGGACGAAAUUUGACGGUACCUACAGAGGAAGCACCGGCUAACUCCGUGCCAGCAGCCGCGGUAAUACGGAGGGUGCAAGCGUUGUCCGGAAUCAUUGGGCGUAAAGAGUUCGUAGGCGGCAUGUCAAGUCUGGUGUUAAAUCCUGAGGCUCAACCUCAGUCCUGCACUGGAUACUGGCAAGCUAGAAUGCGGUAGAGGUAAAGGGAAUUCCUGGUGUAGCGGUGAAAUGCGUAGAUAUCAGGAAGAACACCGGUGGCGUAAGCGCUUUACUGGGCCGUUAUUGACGCUGAGGAACGAAAGCCGGGGGAGCAAAUGGG
rnacentral:rRNA from 1 species